rnacentral:rRNA from 1 species
AGCUUGCUUCUUUGAUGACGAGUGGCGGACGGGUGAGUAAUGCUUGGGAAUCUGGCUUAUGGAGGGGGAUAACUACGGGAAACUGUAGCUAAUACCGCGUAAAAUCGAAAGAUGAAAGUGUGGGACCUUCGGGCCACAUGCCAUAGGAUGAGCCCAAGUGGGAUUAGGUAGUUGGUGAGGUAAAGGCUCACCAAGCCGACGAUCUCUAGCUGGUCUGAGAGGAUGACCAGCCACACUGGGACUGAGACACGGCCCAGACUCCUACGGGAGGCAGCAGUGGGGAAUAUUGCGCAAUGGGGGCAACCCUGACGCAGCCAUGCCGCGUGAAUGAAGAAGGCCUUCGGGUUGUAAAGUUCUUUCGGUAGCGAGGAAGGCAUUUAGUUUAAUAGACUAGGUGAUUGACGUUAACUACAGAAGAAGCACCGGCUAACUCCGUGCCAGCAGCCGCGGUAAUACGGAGGGUGCGAGCGUUAAUCGGAAUAACUGGGCGUAAAGGGCACGCAAGCGGUGACUUAAGUGAGGUGUGAAAGCCCCGGGCUUAACCUGGGAAUUGCAUUUCAUACUGGGUCGCUAGAGUACUUUAGGGACGGGUAGAAUUCCACGUGUAGCGGUGAAAUGCGUAAAGAUGUGGAGGAAUACCGAAGGCGAAGGCAGCCCCUUGGGAAUGUACUGACGCUCAUGUGCGAAAGCGUGGGG